GAACAGAGUUUUAUAACAAUACCGUAAAACUGUAAACUACAUCGGCUCAAAAACGCAAUCCAAUACCUAACAACAACACUGCUACCAAUAAAACUUUACUCGUUAGCAAACGCUGUGAAAUUUACAAUAACCAAACAUCGAAUAACAAAAAAUACAUAAUGUGACAUAAAACAUUUAAACAUAAAAAUGUUUUAUGAAUUAUAUUUUUUACUAUAUUUUUAUAAUGUUUUCUGUUGCUGUUACAAUCCUGGUUCUGUUUUAAAUAAUUUAAGGAGAAGAGAAGUUAUUCCUUUACAUGAGAUUAGUAGACGAAGCUUAGGCAACGAUUAUUAUUAUUAUAACUUGCGGCGUACCAAAGAUAUAAGAGAUAACGUUGACCGUAAAUAUGAGAUUGCAAAGUUACAAAAUGCGAUGCUAAGAGAUGUAGCUUUGGAUGAGAAUAGGAUCCAACAGCGUGAUCCGAGGUGGGCCUUUGAUGCAGAAGAGUGGCGAUGAAGAAGAGUGGCUUGCUAUUCGUUACAAAAGUUCUCCAAAGAUUCUUCAUUUUUACAGAAUUUUAAACUCUUCUAAGUAAUCAUAA